rnacentral:lncRNA from 1 species
UGGAGUGAGAGAAUGACCUCUCUUCCUCUGAUUUUUUUCAUUUUUAUAUAUUAUUAUUAUUUGUUUGGGGCGCCACAGGGCCCCUUCUGGUGGCGCCAUUUGGUUGGUCAACUAGGGGAUCCUGUGGGGAUCCCCCCACCAUAUGAUGGUACACCCUCGUACACACCUCCUUUGAUCUGUUGACUAAGCUAAAGUAUUCCCAUCAUGUGGCCCAGAUCUCUCCCUAUUUUUUUUCAGCAUUAGCCCAUUUUCUCUUAUUUCUUUUAAUUUGUUCCCUUAUUU